UAACCGUAAGUGAACCUGCGGAAGGAUCAUUACAGAGAACCUCGCCCUUUUGGGUGAAUCUCCAACCCUAUGCUAUACUACUUUGUUGCUUUGGCGAGCCGCUUAGGCCACCGGCUUACGCUGGUGAGUGCUCGCCAGAGAACCCUAAACUCUAAGUUAUUAGUGUCGUCUGAGUACUAUAAAAUAGUUAAAAUUUUCAACAACGGAUCUCUUGGUUCUG
rnacentral:misc_RNA from 1 species